GACUCCAGAGGAGAUUCACAAGAUAAUCAAAGGGAUGGAGCACCUCUCUUAUGAGGAAAGGCUAAGAGAGUCAGUGCUCAGCUUGAGAAGCGAAGCCUUUGGGGUGAUCUCAUUGUAUCCCUCCAGUACUUAAAGGAGGCCUUGUAGGAAGGUCUGGGACAAACUUUUUAGCAGGAUCUAUUGUGACAGGACAAGGGGUAACAAUUUGAAACCAAAAGAGGAUAGAUUUAGGUUAAAUAUUAUAUAUUAGAUAUAAGAAAGAAGUUUUUUCAAUGAAGGUGGUGAGACACUGGAAUAGGCUGCCCAGAGAGUUGGUAGAUAUCCCACCCGGGAAACACUGAAGGUUAGAUUUGACUGGGCUCUGAGCAACCUGAUCCAGUUGAAGAUGACCGUGCUUUCUGCAACAGGGCUGGACUACGUGGUCUUUAAAGGUCUCUUCUGAGCCAAACUACUAUCUGAUUCUACGAUUGUACUCUGUUUUGUGUUGCUGGUGGAUUCCAUUAGUCAGGACAGCCUCAGGAGAAGGACAUGAGACAUCCUUUACUGGCUGUCUUUCUUGUCACACAAGAGUCACUUAAUUCUUCCUAAAGAAGAUUGAGAUGUGUUGGGAUUUUCCUGAGGACAAUAUGUGUGAGCAUAUCUUUUCCACAGAACUCACUUCUUUAACAGAAGUUAGGCUUAUAUCUCCAUAUUUUCAUUAAUAAUAGUAACUUUAUGGACCCUGCAAAUCACACUAUAGAAACACUAUUGUUUCAGUAAGAUGUCAGUUUAGGUAUAGCAGAAACAAACAAUUCUCUUCUUACAAACACCCAGAAAUUUCCAGAUUUAAUUGAAAAUUCUGUUUCAGUAAAUCACAGAGCUAUAUAACUUUUUUCUUCAGAAGUUCUUUCUCUUUCCAAUUCAGCAUGCAUAAUGCUUGUAAGUUUUAUUCAGUGAAAAUGAAAAGCUUUAUGUCUCUGAGACUAAUUUCUAUGUAAAUGAACUAACAAGCAUGUGCACAGCAAAGCAGAGGCUAUAAAAAGUAAAAUGGAGUUUAGUUUACCAAUAUUUUGCAAGUGUUUCAACAGCUUGCACAAUUAAGUUUGGAACUAUGGUGAAUUGGAUUUGUGUGUGUAUUUUUAUCUGUUUGAUUGACAAAAUUUUUCCUUUGUUUAACUCUAAUUACCUUUUUGAAUUACUUUCAAGUUGGAGAUUUGCAUGUACUAGGCGUUAUGUAUCACUGCCAUCCUGUAUUGCAUGAGGAUGUAUCCAUAUGUCCAGUUGCUUGACUGUCAGGAGCUGGAGAACAGAGAGAAAAUAUAUGACAUUAUCAAAAUCCAAACUACUGUCCAAGAAAUCUAAGUCUGGAAGAAAUUGCAAUUUUCAGCUCCCUUCAUUUUGAGGGAAAAUUCUUAGAUAUGGAGAGAUAUAACUUCUGUCAGGCUGAGGAUGGGAAUGAAACAACUUUAGAUGCUUCUGUGAGUGUAAUCCUCUAGAUUAUGAGCAAAUAUCAAAAGCAGAUUUGAGAAUCUUCUUUAAAUAAAUAUUUUCAUACCCUAUUGUAAACACACUGAAAAUAUGAGAAUUGCAUCACAGCUCUCAAGGAUUUAGGCUAUGUAGCAGCUUAAGAUAGAUUCCUCAUAACCAAAUAUAGAUGUCUAUGCAUGACAGAAUCAUGCAGACUCGUCAUAAUUGAACAGAAAAGAAGAACAUCUCAUCCUAUGUAUACACUUCUGAAGUGAAUUGGAAAACUCUUUUCUAAACUUUUAUAUUUUUCUCUUGAAACAGCAAGUGACUAGCUUGGAUGGAACAUCUGUACAGCAGACGUCUGAAGUCCAGUGAGGUUAAUCCACACUUAUUUCUACAUCUCACAGAGGCUUAGGUAUAAGAAAUACUCAGCUGUUUGUACUGGCACGAUAUUAAACUUGUGCCAAAAGUAGAAUCUAUAGAAAGAAUAUAACUUUAAAGUCAAGUAAUAUUAGGCACCUCUGUCCUCACAUGGGUAAGCAAGUGUUUGCUUGCCACAUAAGCAAGCAGAAAUUUUUGAUUGCAGCCCUUUUAAUCUACUCCAUGCUUUGCCGUAGGCACUUUGCUGGAUACAAUCCUGAAUCUCCUGUGAAGUUUUUGAUUAUGUUUUUAUCAUCUCAUCAUUAAUAUGAAGAAAGAGCACUUUUCUUAUGCAACUUUAAGUAUACCCAAGGGGAACAGCUGAAGUAUAUUUGCGUACUUGCACAAAUGCUGAACAGUGUCCAUUCUGCUGCUAGUCACACAAAGGACAUGUAGAUUUUCAUUUGCCACUUUGUAUGGCAAAACCUGCUCAAUUUAAAUAUUGACUGGAUUCUAUUGUUAUUAUGCUUGCGGAUGUCUAUUCAGUGAAGAAUUAUGAACUAUAGCAGAAUUCAUAGCAACACUCAGGGCCUACUGAAAGAGCAGAAGAAAAAAUGAUCUUCAUAAAAAACCAAAAAUAUGUAACUAUGCAACAGUGAGCACAACUGCAGCUAAUAUUUGUGUGACCUUCAAUAUUAUGCAGGCACAGGAUAAAAUCCAGUAGCUAUUUUUUUCAUUGUCUAUGCUGUCACUGUCAUGGAGCACAUUCCAGAACGAGAGAAGAGGGAAAUAACAGUCCACUGAUGAACAAUUGCAACAUGCCUGGUUAGAAGUCUGAAAAUGGGUGCAAAAAUCUGGAAGUUGGCGUUAAUCUUAUGCAAAACCUAACCAUGAGGUGCCAAGCCAUGUGCUCUAGAUAGCACGAGUGCCAUCCAUCACUAUAUUUCUGACUACUUUACAGGUUGAACAGACAAUAUCAACAUGAUCCUUCUGAGGAAUUAAGUUUUCUUAGUGAGAAUACAUGGGAGAUCUUGCAUUUGUACUUGGAAACUGUAGAUGCUGAUGAAAAUUGCAAAGGCAAUACCGAGAGUGGUGAAGUGUAAUGUGUAAUGUGUUUGAGUUUCUUUUCAAGUAUGCGUGGAGAGACACAUUUAAAGAAAAAUAUGUAUAAAACUUAGUAUUUUAAGUGUGUUUUUAUGGAUAUUUUUAUUUUUGAAAAGUUGUAAUGUUAAAUUUUUGACUAAGAAUAGAACACCCAUCUAGGUCCCACUCUGGAUGAAGAAUAUGACAUUUUGUGUUUAUAGUUAGAUGAUGACAAGGAAGCAGAGCUGACAUGACCAUGACUGAUGAAAUUAAAUGCAUUUUUCAAACACCUCCAAAAUUUGAAAAACUUUUAAAUUGCAAGAAUUUUAGAAUCAAAAGGAGGUAUACAGAGGGCACAGUGAGUAUGACAUUGCAGCUACUUUAUGAUCAAGAGGUUCUAGCUAGUAGCCAUUGUAGGCUAAUCCUUACAUUAAUUUAAAAAGAAGUAAAUUCUUGUCAAAUAAGCAAAACCACGAAAGAGAGCUGCCUAACACUUAGCUCACGUCUUGAAAUUAAAUAUUGUGGCUCAGGAUCCUUUUUUUUAAACACAGAUUUUUGUGAGUGAUCAGUGAAGGCUGAAUGCUUUGAUCAUGUCCUCUUCACUGUGCCCACUCUUCAUGUCAGAGAUGAAGGGCAGGGAAUUGUUAUGUUUUGGCAGUUCUGUGUCACCCCAAGUUGCUCCUAUUCAGGGAAAUGCCCUGACUGGAUGUUUAAGCUGACUUCUACCCUCAUUUACAUCAACACAAAAAAUACCAGCGAUUCUGGUGUCAGAGUCUUUUUCUCCUUCAAAAGGAAAAUCAAACAGCAUGACUGAACUUGGAAGACUGAGGAAGCAGCUCCAUCUGAAUAAAGAAGGACAAAAAGGAAAGAGAAAAUUGUUGAUGCAAAAGCAUGUUUUUGUACUUGUGCUUUGCACUUUGACUCCAGUGGAUCCAGAUAUCCUUCUGAGCCUGACCUGGGAAAAAUAGUCUCUAUGUCAUGUGUCCUAUAAAAGGCUCAGCGAAGCCUUCCAUUGCUCUGAAAGUGUAGCAUUUUAAAUAAACUCGUUUUUAAUUGAAAGGAGGGCUAAGGCAUCCAGACACUUCUCUGGUUCUUAAAUAUUCUUUGUGGGCAAUUAUUUUUAUAUAAAUAUAUUUAGUAGCUUACACAUAUGUAAUGUUUUUUUAAAUGUAAGGGUAUGUGAUUUUAUAUGUUCACUGUUAUAUUAUUUUAUUGUUUUAUUUAUUUACAUAAUUUUAUGUAUCCUUCUAUGUAACUACAUUUGUAUUUAUUUCUUCCUUUACAUAAAAAAAUAAAGAAACCACUCUAAUUGGAUUGUAGUCAGAAGUUA